AAAACUGCAACGGAUUUGAAACAGAAUGGGCGUGCAAGACAUAUUGUGAAGAUUGAAGCGAAAGCAUUGAGUAUGUAUGGAGCAGUGCUGUAUCUCUGGUGACCACUAGAAUAUGCGACAGGUUGUAACGUGGUUGUGGCUUCCACAAGAUUGCCAAGUUUCAUUAAAAGGUUCCUCUAUGC
rnacentral:lncRNA from 1 species